rnacentral:rRNA from 1 species
UACGUAGGGGGUAAGCGUUGUCCGGAAUCAUUGGGCGUAAAGCGCGUGUAGGCGGCUCGAUAAGUCUGCUGUGAAAGUCCAGGGCUCAACCCUGGAAUGCCGGUGGAAACUGUCGAGCUAGAGUCCGGAAGAGGCGAGUGGAAUUCCUGGUGUAGCGGUGAAAUGCGCAGAUAUCAGGAGGAACACCAAUGGCGAAGGCAGCUCGCUGGGACGGUACUGACGCUGAGACGCGAAAGCGUGGGGAGCAAACAGG